GAUCAUGGCUCAGGAUGAACGCUAGCUACAGGCUUAACACAUGCAAGUCGAGGGGCAUCAUGGAGUUUGCUUGCAAACUCUGAUGGCGACCGGCGCACGGGUGAGUAACGCGUAUCCAACCUUCCCUAUAGUAGAGGAUAGCCCGGCGAAAGUCGGAUUAAUACUCUAUGUUUUCCGUUGCAGGCAUCUAAGAUGGAACAAAGGCUUGCCGCUAUAGGAUGGGGAUGCGUCUGAUUAGGUAGUCGGCGGGGUAACGGCCCACCGAGCCAUCGAUCAGUAGGGGUUCUGAGAGGAAGGUCCCCCACAUUGGAACUGAGACACGGUCCAAACUCCUACGGGAGGCAGCAGUGAGGAAUAUUGGUCAAUGGGCGAGAGCCUGAACCAGCCAAGUAAGCGUGCAGGACGACGGCCCUAUGGGUUGUAAACUGCUUUUAUGCGGGGAUAAAGUUCACUACGUGUAGUGUUUUGUAGGUACCGCAUGAAUAAGGACCGGCUAAUUCCGUGCCAGCCGCCGC
rnacentral:rRNA from 1 species